CAGGUCUUGACAUCCCGCUGACCGGCAUGGAGACAUGUCUUUCCCUUCGGGGACAGCGGUGACAGGUGGUGCAUGGUUGUCGUCAGCUCGUGUCGUGAGAUGUUGGGUUAAGUCCCGCAACGAGCGCAACCCUUGAUCUUAGUUGCCAGCAUUCAGUUGGGCACUCUAAGGUGACUGCCGGUGACAAACCGGAGGAAGGUGGGGAUGACGUCAAAUCAUCAUGCCCCUUAUGACCUGGGCUACACACGUGCUACAAUGGACGGUACAAAGGGCUGCGAACCCGCGAGGGGGAGCCAAUCCCAUAAAACCGUUCCCAGUUCGGAUUGCAGGCUGCAACUCGCCUGCAUGAAGCCGGAAUCGCUAGUAAUCGUGGAUCAGCAUGCCACGGUGAAUACGUUCCC
rnacentral:rRNA from 1 species